rnacentral:misc_RNA from 1 species
AGUCGUAACAAGGUUUCCGUAGGUGAACCUGCGGAAGGAUCAUUAGUGAUUGCCAUCUUGGCUUAAAACUAUAUCCAUCAACACCUGUGAACUGUCUGAUUGAAUCUUUAUUGAUUCGAUUUUACAAACAUUGUGUAAUGAACGUCAUAACAUUAUAAUAAAAAAAAACUUUUAACAACGGAUCUCUUGGCUCUCGCAUCGAUGAAGAACGCAGCGAAAUGCGAUAAGUAAUGUGAAUUGCAGAAUUCAGUGAAUCAUCGAAUCUUUGAACGCAACUUGCGCUCUCUGGUAUUCCGGAGAGCAUGCCUGUUUGAGUGUCAUGAAAUCUCAACCAUUAGGGUUUCUUAAUGGCUUGGAUUUGGACGUUGGCAGUUUACUGCCUCGUCUUAAAAGAGUUAGCAAGUUAACUAUUGCUGUCUGGCGUAAUAAGUUUCGCUGGAAAGGCAUUGUGAAGCGUGCUUCUAAUCGUCUUCGGACAAUUACUUUUGACUCUGGCCUCAAAUCAGGUAGGACUACCCGCUGAACUUAAGCAUAUCAAUAAGCGGAGGAA